GAGGAAUAUUGGUCAAUGGACGGAAGUCUGAACCAGCCAAGUAGCGUGCAGGAUGACGGCCCUAUGGGUUGUAAACUGCUUUUGUAUGGGGAUAAAGUCAAUCACGUGUGAUUGUUUGCAGGUACCAUACGAAUAAGGACCGGCUAAUUCCGUGCCAGCAGCCGCGGUAAUACGGAAGGUCCGGGCGUUAUCCGGAUUUAUUGGGUUUAAAGGGAGCGUAGGCCGGAGAUUAAGUGUGUUGUGAAAUGUAGACGCUCAACGUCUGACUUGCAGCGCAUACUGGUUUCCUUGAGUACGCACAACGUUGGCGGAAUUCGUCGUGUAGCGGUGAAAUGCUUAGAUAUGACGAAGAACUCCGAUUGCGAAGGCAGCUGACGGGAGCGCAACUGACGCUGAAGCUCGAAGGUGCGGGUAUCGAACAGGAUUAGAUACCCUGGUAGUCCGCACAGUAAACGAUGGAUGCCCGCUGUUGGUACCUAGUAUCAGCGGCUAAGCGAAAGCAUUAAGCAUCCCACCUGGGGAGUACGCCGGCAACGGUG
rnacentral:rRNA from 1 species